UACGGGGGGGGCAAGCGUUGUUCGGAAUUACUGGGCGUAAAGGGCUCGUAGGUGGCCAACUAAGUCAGACGUGAAAUCCCUCGGCUUAACCGAGGAACUGCGUCUGAUACUGGAUGGCUUGAGUUUGGGAGAGGGAGGCGGAAUUCCAGGUGUAGCGGUGAAAUGCGUAGAUAUCUGGAGGAACACCGGUGGCGAAGGCGGCAUCCUGGACAAAUACUGACACUGAGGAGCGAAAGCCAGGGGAGCAAACGGG
rnacentral:rRNA from 1 species